AUACGUAGGUGGCAAGCGUUGUCCGGAAUUAUUGGGCGUAAAGCGCGCGCAGGCGGUCCUUUAAGUCUGAUGUGAAAGCCCACGGCUCAACCGUGGAGGGUCAUUGGAAACUGGGGGACUUGAGUGCAGAAGAGGAAAGUGGAAUUCCAAGUGUAGCGGUGAAAUGCGUAGAGAUUUGGAGGAACACCAGUGGCGAAGGCGACUUUCUGGUCUGUAACUGACGCUGAGGCGCGAAAGCGUGGGGAGCAAACAGGAUUAGAUACCCUGGUAGUCCACGCCGUAAACGAUGAGUGCUAAGUGUUAGGGGGUUUCCGCCCCUUAGUGCUGCAGCUAACGCAUUAAGCACUCCGCCUGGGGAGUACGGUCGCAAGACUGAAACUCAAAUGAAUUGACGGGG
rnacentral:rRNA from 1 species